UGAUCUCCGACGACGGCGCGCCAUUGUCGCCUUCUUCUUCUUCUGCAUUGCUGAGUGUCAACUGUAAGUACCGAUCCACCGUCGUCGUCGACAUGCCAGUUGUGGCUCCAUUGUUACCUUGGAGGAAUAAAACCAACGAACCUGGAGAUCUCACCCGCCAUUGUGAAUUGUGAGGCACCUGUAAAUAUAUGUUGGGAGCUUAAUUAGGGUGGUAAGGGAGUCAGUAGCGUGCAUCCAGGGGGCUUUGAGGCUCAUUAUGAGAUGAGAUGAGAUAUGUUGUUCCCCUGUUUAAGUUUUGUCUGUAAAAGAAACCAUUCUCUGGUUAUUGUGUUAUUGUAUCAGUGUAACUUGAGUUGUCUCAUGUGAUGAGCCAUCGCCUCGUUGAUCACUGAUAUGAUGAGAUGUGUUCUUCCCCCCGUUUAAGUCUUGUUGUAUUUGAUCAUUUGUUUAAUUGCCAUGUUUAAGUCUUGUUAUAUCUAUCAUCCUCUACUUGGAAUACACCAAGAAACUAUUUCCGCCUCAAAAUAAGUGUUGUGGUUUUAGUACAAUAGUGUGGUUUUAGUACGAUAGUGUUGUAUAAAAAAACAAGCAAGUGAAAUUAACGGAAACUAUAAUGUGUUGGAUAAUCAGCAACUGGUGUUCACUGAGGACCAAAGGCCAUUACGUAUACAUGUGUGGUUAAGUGUAGAAAGCCCCUUAUAUAAUGGGAUGUACAGAAAAGGGACUAUACAUAUCUAACACCCCCGUCAAACUCAUGGUGGAUCAACAACACUGGAUUUGGAGAGAAUAAAAUCAUGUUGCGCUCAAGUCUGUGCCUUCAUGUAGGAGUCUGCCAACUGUAACUCAGAGGGCACAUAGUGAAGAGCAAGAGUCUGAUCCUGCACAACAUCACGCAUAAAAUGGGCAUCCGCACCGAUGUGCUUGGUGAGCUCAUGCUUCACCGGGUCACAUGUAAUACUGAAAGCACCGGUACUGUCAGACAAUAAGGGAGUCGAGGUAGUAGCAGACACCCCAAAAUCCUCAAGUAACCACCGUAACCAGAUCACCAAAGCCGUUAACAUAGCCAUGACUCGCAACUCGGCCUCUAUACUAGAGCGAGAAACUGCAGUCUGUUUCUUUGUCUUUCAGGCAAUGAGAGAGCCACCAAAAAAGACACAGUAAGCAGAUAGCGAGCUCGAUCAGAGGGAUCACUAGCCCAGGUAGCAUCAGAGUAGGCCUGGAGCUCAAGGGAGCUGGAGCGGGGAAAGAAAAGGCGUUGAGGGAUCGUGCCAUGAAGAUAUCGUAGAACACGGAGGAGAUGACUAUAGUGGACAGAGGUGGGGGCUGAGACAAACUGACUCGGGAUGUGAACAUGAUAGGAGAUGUCAGGACGUGUAACAGUAAGAUAGACAAGGCUGCCAACGAGGUGACGAUAGCGAGUGGGAUUAGGAAGAGGGUCACCAUCAGAGGCACGAAGCUGAACGUUGAGCUCCAUAGGAGUCACAAUUGUGAGCUCAUCACCGAGAGCAGCGCGAGCAGGAAGAUCCGGAAUAUAUUUUUCUUGGGAGAUGUAGAAGCCAUCAGAGGUCGAGGAGAUCUCAAUCCCAAGAAAAUAGCGAAGUGGACCAAGAUUAGUCAUGAGGAACUGGUCACGAAGGCGGCCUUAACAAAGGCAAUGUAGUCAGAGUCGUCACCAGUGAUGAUCAUGUCAUCAACAUAGAGAAGGAGAAGAGUUUGACCACGAGGAGACAUGUGAACAAAUAACGCGGGAUCAUGAUCACUGGGCAAGAAACCAGCGGCAGUUACCAUAGAGGUGAAGCGCUCAAAUCAGGCGCGAGGGGCCUGUUUAAGACCAUAGAGGGAGCGGCGAAGUCUACAGACCAUACCAUCAGGGGCAUAGUACCCCGGUGGUGGCUGCAUAUAAACCUCCUCACGCAACUCGCCAUUAAAAAAGGCGUUCUGGACAUCAAGUUGAGAGAUAGAUCAAUGACGAACAGAAACCACAACAAGGAGAGUGCGAACAAUGGUCAUGUGGGUCACAGGAGCGAAUGUCUCAUCAUAAUCGCGUCCUUGCUCCUGCUGAAAACCACGAGCCACAAGACGAGCUUUGUAGCGCUCAAGAGAACCAUCGGAGCGAGUCUUAAUCUUGUAGACCCACUUGCAGGUGAUGGGACGAACACCGGAAGGGAGAGAAGCCAAAUCCCAUGUGCCAGAGCGCUCAAGGGCAGCAAGCUCUUCGGGCAUCGCAAGCGGCCAUUUAGGCUGAGUCAUGGCAGUUGUAAGGGCAUAUUUAUCCCCAAGGUGUUUUGGUGAUUGAUGACAAUGCUUUUGUGGACUAAUCAUGUGCGUUGAGAUUUUCAGAGAUUCAUCCUUUGGCACGAGACGAUUCCCUCCCCUUGGUGUUUUAUUCAAGACGGUGCAGCUCCUUCGUUUCUCUGUUGGGGGACUAGUUUCGUAGGAGUCACCGUACUAUCAGGGGGGAUCCGCUUUGAUAAGGCUAGGGUGGAAUCAACACGUACACAUCCUUAUCGCACCUGCUGAUCCUUCCCGCUUCAAUGGAGUUUUCCUUCCCUUCCUGGCUUGCCCUGUUUGGUCCCAGCGGUAGUACCGCGGGCCACAGCGGUAGUACCGCCGAAGCACAACAAGCGGUAGUACCGCUUCUCAGCGAUAGUACCGCUUGAUGUCUUCCGCCGUAGUAUCGAUGUGGCUCCGGGCUACUACCGCCUCGACUCGAGGCCUCGUUUUCUCGUGUCGGGUUCUGCGGCACUAGCUGGGGCAGUAGUGGCGGUAGUAUCGCUCUCGAGCGGUAGUACCGCCCUUACCACCGCGGUAGUACCGCUCUGGGUCCAGGACCUUGCUCCCCUCACGUGCACGGCAGUACCGCUAGGUGGCACGGUAGUACCGCUGGCUCAGCGGUAGUACCGCCCACCCAAGCGGUAGUACCGCUCUCCGCGGGGCUGCUUGGGGGGCCAGUGAUCUCGGCGGCGCGCCAUUGUCGCCGCCUUCUUCUGCAUUGUUGAGUGUCAACUAUAAGUACCAAUCCACCGUCGUCGUCGACAUGCCAGUUGUGGCUUCAUUGUUACCUUGGAGGAAUAAAACCAACGAACCUGAAGAUCUCACCCGCCAUUGUGAAUUGUGAGGCACCUGUAAAUACAAGUUGGGAGCUUAAUUAGGGUGGUAAGGGAGUCAGUAGCGUGCAUCCAGGGGGCUUUGAGGCUCAUUAUGAGAUGAUGAGAUGUGUUGUUCCCC
rnacentral:lncRNA from 1 species